GUAGGGAAUAUUGCGCAAUGGGGGAAACCCUGACGCAGCGACGCCGCGUGAGUGAUGAAGGCCUUCGGGUCGUAAAGCUCUGUUGCAGGGGAAUAAAAAAAUGAAGGUACCCUGUGAGGAAGGAUCGGCUAACUUCGUGCCAGCAGCCGCGGUAAGACGAGGGAUCCUAGCGGUGCUCGGAAUCAUUGGGCGUAAAGAGGGCGUAGGUGGCUUGGUCAGUCAGGUGUGAACGCCCAGGGCUCAACCCUGGAAGUGCAUUUGAUAGUGCUGAGCUUGAGUGUCGGAGAGGUUACCGGAAUACCUGGUGUAGUGGUGAAAUACGUAGAUAUCAGGUGGAACACCGGAGGCGAAGGCGGGUAACUGGACGAACACUGACACUGAGGCCCGAAAGCGUGGGGAUCAAACAGGAUUAGAAACCCGGGUAGUCC
rnacentral:rRNA from 1 species